GACGAACGCUGGCGGCGUGCUUAACACAUGCAAGUCGAGCGGAAAGGCCCUUCGGGGUACUCGAGCGGCGAACGGGUGAGUAACACGUGAGUAACCUGCCCCUGACUCUGGGAUAAGCCUGGGAAACCGGGUCUAAUACCGGAUAUGACACUUCACCGCAUGGUGUGGGUGUGGAAAGUUUUUUCGGUUGGGGAUGGGCUCGCGGCCUAUCAGCUUGUUGGUGGGGUGAUGGCCUACCAAGGCGACGACGGGUAGCCGGCCUGAGAGGGCGACCGGCCACACUGGGACUGAGACACGGCCCAGACUCCUACGGGAGGCAGCAGUGGGGAAUAUUGCGCAAUGGGCGGAAGCCUGACGCAGCGACGCCGCGUGGGGGAUGACGGCCUUCGGGUUGUAAACCUCUUUCAGCAGGGACGAAGUUGACGUGUACCUGUAGAAGAAGCGCCGGCUAACUACGUGCCAGCCGCCGCAGUAAUAC
rnacentral:rRNA from 1 species